GCUCAAAUUUGAAAUCUUCAAGGGUUUCCCUUUACGAAUUGUAGUUUAAAGAAGUGUUUUCUGUUGAGGUUUUGGUAAAAGUUCUUUGGAAUAGGACAUCAUAGAGGGUGAGAAUCCCGUAUUUGACCUUUACUUUCAACUUUGUGAUACACUUUCAAAGAGUCGGAUUGUUUGGGAAUGCAGUCCAAAAUGGGUGGUAAAUUUCAUCUAAAGCUAAAUAUUGGCGAGAGACCGAUAGCGAACAAGUACCGUGAGGGAAAGAUGAAAAGGACCUUGAAAAGAGAGUUAAACAGUACGUGAAAUUGUCAAAAGGGAAGCGUUUGACACCAGUGUUGUUUUUCUGAAAAUCAAUUAAAGAACUGUUUAUGCUAAGUUGUUUAGACUUUAUCAGCUAACUGUUUAGUUUUGAGCUUUUCUUUAAUGCACUUUUCAGUUAACAAG
rnacentral:rRNA from 1 species